rnacentral:lncRNA from 1 species
UGAAGGUUACACAUCUCUAACUUGUUUAUUUUGUCACUCUAUUCAUCUCUGUUUCCUCUUAUUUUCAAUUUUAUUCUUGCCUCACCAAUGAUUAUGAUCGGGUUUUUUGUAUUGUUUUGAUGAGAUUGAGAUGUUUGUUAGGAUUAUGAGGAUCUCAUAAUAAUAAAGGUGAUGCUAAUGUAACACUGGAAAAAUGAUUGAGUUGGUUUCCUUUAUACCACACGAUCUCAUUUUCAUUUU